rnacentral:lncRNA from 1 species
AAGACAGCUUCUGUGCUCUCCACUGAGCCUCUGAAGCUCCCUACCUGUCCCAGCUGAUCUUCCAGUUCUUGGAAGGGGUUUCCAGAUUGAGGGAACCUUUCCUCUUUCACUGCUUCCUCUCAGGAGCACAAGACCUGUCUCAAUUCUUUUUUUUUUUUUUCACCCUUCCUGGUUACAUGGUGAUAUUUUUUGUGGAUUUGAUUGCAUGAGAUUUUCUUCCAGAAUUAAGUAGGUAUUCUGUUAGAAUUAUUCCACAUGUAGAUGUGCUUUUGAUGUAUUUGUGGGAGGAGGUGAACUCCAUGUCCUUCUAUUCUCCAUCUAUUCUUCUUUCUAAUAUUUUGAUGCUACUGUAUUGUAUAUGUUCUCUCUCUUUCUCAUCUCAUUCUCCAUGUCUAUGUCUCUCUUCACUUUUUUAUCUUUAAGUUGAGAUAAUUUAUACUGACAUAUCUUCAGGUUUACUGUUUCAUUCCUCUUCUUGUCAGAUCUGCUGAUGUGCCAAUCCAAGGAAUACUUUAUCUCUGUUAUUAUAUUCUUUAGUUAAAACAUUUCCAUUUGAUCUUUUAUGGAUUUUUCAUUCCUCUGAUGAAAUUCUCCCAUCUAGUCAUCCAUGUUUUCCUCCUUUUUAUUAGAUCCUUUAGCUUAUGAAUCAGCUGUUAUUGUAAAGUCUCUGCUUUACCUUUUCAACAUCUGGGUCUUCUUUGCAUCUGGUUAUCUCGAUUGCUUUCUCUUGACAAUAAGCUUGCUUUUCUUUGUCUCUCAUAAUUUUUAUUGUGUUUCAGCUAUUGUGUAUAUAACAGAAGAUACAGAAGGAAAUAGUAGUUUUCCUAGAAAAUAAGUGCAUCUCUUCUGUCAUGAUGACAGAAUGAAUCAAGCAUCAGUGUAGUCAGGAGUGAGCCUAGAUUUGGAUCAUGUUUGUGCUAUUACUACAUUCAAUGUACCAUAGUCUCCAAAUCUUUUGGCAGUGGCUGUUCUGCCUUGCACUCAGAGGGAGUUCUAUAGUGGUGUAGGGGUUUCCUAGUGUUUGUGCUCCACUUUAGGUUUAAGCCAUCCCUACACACCUGUGCCACAAAGAGCACAUUUCUGCUCUUGCUCCUCCCUUAUUAUUGUUGAUUAUUGUUGCUGGUUACUCAAUGCGAGGCUCAGGUAGGGGUGGAGUGGCUCUGUGUGGUCCUAGUCCAUCCUCAAGCAGGCACUUUGCACCUGAGCUUUGAGGGUGGCACACUCCUAGCAUUCUUGACCCUUAACCCACCCCAUGGAAGCCAGACUUUGCCUUGUGUCUAUGAUUGGUCUUAGAAGUUUCCCACUGUUCACAAUUAGAAGAUCUCUGCUUUUAUCAGUUUAAGGAGCUUAGAACCAAGAUUGUAUGUUGAAUUUACUCCAGGGAGAGAGUGUUUUUAUUCUGCCCCUGAUUGUUCUAGAAUGAAAUGUUAGCCUAAACAUGUCUUUUAACAGUUCGUUAAAGUUUAGGUGAUAUAUUUGUACUCAUUUGUAUGGUGCCUGCUUCUUCCACACCUGCUCUUUGCCAAUGUUGAGAGAGUUUUGCUUUGACUCUCCUGGAAGUCUUGUCUCUCUUUGAAAUUCAGGUUUCCUACUUACCUUGGAACCACAACUUUCUGAUGGAAACAGAGUUACGAUUUUGUAGUUUCCUGGAUGUUUUUGUAUUAAUGUGGGAGUAUAAUUCCUUCGGGAUUUCUGUCACACGAACAGAAGGAGAUGCUCUGUGAUGAUAAGUGGCUGAGUUUUGAGUCAAAACCAUUCAAGGUACAUGAAAAUUAGGCGAGAUCUUGUGAAAAUAAUGACCAGAACAUUAAUGAAGAUAAUAAUAAAUUGAUAAAACCUGCAAACAUAUCCUGUGCAGUAUAUAUGUAAAUAUAUACUUCCAGUAUUUAAAAAAAUGUUUCAUUCUUCAUUUAUAAGUAGGAAUUUACUUAACACAUCUAUUCCUAUUUCCACUAUAUAAGGAAUCCCAGUCACAACUGUAAGUAUGACUCAGUUUCUAUUAAUUUAUGAUGGUUUUUCUUUCUAAGGGAUGAUGACUCGGCAAAAUCAUGUACCCUUUACUUCAUGUACAAUGGUGUCAUGUAUACGUACAUGGCAUUAGGGAGGAGUGUAUGCCCGGCUUGUGGCCACCCUCUAGUGUCCCCUGUGAUUGACUGUGGUGAACUUGCUUCACGUGGCCUUUAUCGUCUUAUGCGGACCUGUGCUGAUGUUCACAAUCCUGCCGUGGCCCUUGGCGGUCACUUCCAAGUCAUGCGACUCCUCCCCCUCCCUAAGGCUUCUGCACAUCUGCCAAGUCCUCCGUUAAUAUUAUCUUACUUCUCUACCCACUACUUUUUCUGCAGGAGAUUGGGGUGAGGCUCGGGCCCUUUAAUCAAGGCCUCUUAUUUAGCCAUUGCUCUGGCAUCAGAGGGAAGGUGGGGUUUUGCUAAAAUAAUUAGUGGCUCCUCUGUCUUUUCCAUAGGAAGUAAAGCAUGUGUUCUCUCUGCUCUCAGGUCACAAAACUGAACGGAGAUUUCAGCUUUCCUCUUUCUACCUCAUCUUAACCAAGGAUAAGAAGGCCAUAAUUUGAAAGCCUCAAAGGACAUGUCCCAUGUUUCUUGUAACUAUUUUUCUCUACCAGUUCUUUCCUUUCCCCACACAUCUUGUUGACUAUAUGCUUUCUUUAGAAAAGAAAAUUAGCUUUUACAUUAUAGUGUAUUCUUCCUCAAAUUGUGUGUGCAUGUGUGCAUGUUUGUGAUUUUCUGCUUUGCCUUUUGGUAUUUUGUGUCGAACUUUUGGAAUUCAAAAUCACUCAUGAACCUUGUUUUUAAGACUAUAUGUUUAUAAAAAUAUCCGGCAGCUCAUAGAUUUGUUUAAGCUGUUAUCUCUUCUCUCCUAGAGAAAGAGAAGACUCUUAUCUUUUGGACAUCACCCCUUAAAUGAGGAGAGGGGAUAGUCAUUCAUACAUGGCAGCACAGGGAGUACAGUUGGAGACCUCCAUUAAAAUCUCAAGGAUUACUAAUAAUUUCUAAGUAUCAAACACUAUCCUCAUAUCUUACAGAGAUUUUUCAUUUCAUGUUUUACCAAAAACUCAUUAAGUAAUUUAUAUUAUUUUUGAAACCGAAUUAAGUAGCUUACCUAGCCUAAGGGAGAAGUACACCAACCUUCUCAUUUUUAUAGAUGACAACACUGAGAUAUGAAGUAUGAGAUUAAUUUGAAUAAUGUGUUGCUUGUCAGCAGUGGAACCGGGAGUAGAACCCAAGAUUCCAGAUGCUCUGUUUCGUCUAUAUUAAUCAUAUAGUUGAAUUUGAAUGAAGUUGUUAGCUUUUUUGAAGAUAUGCAUAUAAUUUGAGGUGAUUUUCACAAAUUAGCUAUGCGAUCCCUGAAAGAUAGAAAUAAAUGCCAGGUACUAAAUAAUGUGAUAAAAAUACAUUAUUCAUAUGGGAGAUAAAUUGCUAGACAUUAUUGCUUUGACUGUAUGCUUAAAAUGAGUCAGUAGGAGUAUUCCUAGUCAAACAACUCACUUGGUUCUGGGAUAGAUUAACAAUAAAAUAAUGAGAAAUAUUUAGAGAGAAAUCCUCCCCAAAUGCGCAACACCUACUUGAACACAAUUUCUUUUUUUAAUGGCUUAUACUACAAGGGAAAUGAUAAGAGAAUGAGGUUGGUUCAGUGAGGAGCAAAAAAAUGAAAGGUUACCAAGGAGAGAUGGAACUGAUUGAUUUUGACUAAAGAAUGAUGCUGAGGACAAACUUAAUCAGCUCUUUUGAAACUGACUAUCGUAUUAAAGUAAGGCCAUAGACUUUAACAUUUUACUUUACAAUAUUCAAAAUAUACAAAUGAUUACAGGUAAAAAAGAUGUAGGCUAUGAUUUAGAGUACUAACAUGAAAAUAUGUGAGCAAAACUUAAAAACUAGAACAGUAAAUUGUUUGCUUUUCAGCUUUAUAAAGAUCAUAUAUGUAAUUUUAUGAGAUUUUCUCAAUAUUUUCGACUCAUCCAUGUUGUUACGUGUAGAUACGGUUCAUAAUUUUUCAUGGCUGUAUGAUAUUCCAGUAUAGGAACAUGACAUACAAUUUCUUCAUCCCUUCUGGGAAAGAAUAUUUGACUUUUUCCCCACUUUCACUACUAUGAACAUUUUUAUGGAUGUAACCAUGUAUAUAUGUGCACAAGUUCCUAGGGGUGGAGUUGCUGGGUUCCAGGUUAUGUGAAUCCUGAGCUUUGUGAAAUAGAGCCAGCUUGUUUUAUAGUAAACACAGUAACUAGAUUCCCACAAAAGAAGUCUCAUUUAUCCAGAUCUUUUCUUUUUCAUUUAUUUUUAUUCCUAAAACGUUUUAAUAUUCUCAUUUAAUGCUUUUUACAUCUUGCAAAGUUUUGUCUUUAAUAUUUAUGUUUUUAGCCCAUUGUGAAUUGAUUUUUAUGUAUGAUAAGAAGUGAUAAUUCUAUUUCCAUUCUUUCUCAUGGAUAACUUAUUGUUUAGGCUCAUUUAUUUUCCUAUAAUGUGCCAUACACCUUUGUUAUAUAUCAUAUUCGCUUGAAUGUAUGAGUCUGUUCCUAGACACUACAAACUGUGUCAAUAUUGAAAUAUUUUAUUAUUUCAUCAUCAAUACCUGAAAGUUCUAAUUACUGUGGCUGUGUAAUAAAUCUUAAUGUAUGAAAAGGGAAAUCCCCCUCUACCCUGUUCUUUGGCAGGAUUCUCUUCAUUUUUCCUUUGACUUUUUUCCUUCUGCAUAAAUUUUAGUAUCAGCUUGACCACGUCCUUGAAAAAUCCUAUUGGUGUUGUGAUUAAAAUUGAUUUAAAGUCAUAUUGUUUGGGAAGACCUGACACCUUAAAAUACCGAAUUAUCUUAUUCAUGUAUCUGAUAUCUCUUUAGGUAUUCAGUAAUUUUUCAUAAAUUUCAUAUUUUUCCUCAGUCAGCUAGAAUACAGUUUUUUCUAUUAACUUCUUGUUAUAUACUCAUAAAUAUCUUAAAAUUAUAUUUUCUAAAUGUAUGAUUGGUGAAUAUAAACACUUAUGUGUUGAUUAUAUAUCCAGAAAACCUACUGAACUCUAAAAUUGUUUCUAAAUAAAUGUGCCCUCAAAAAGAGCAAAUAUUCUGGCAUUAUUGAGCAGAGUCUUCUAUAAAUAUCAAUUAGGUCAGGUUGGUUGAUGAUCUUGUCUAAAUCUUGUAUGUCCUUACUGAUUUUCUGCCUACUUUUUCUAUCAGACCUUGAGAGAAGGGCAUUGAAAUCUUUGACUUUAACGGGGUUUAUUUACUUGUCCUUGUAGUUGCAUGUUUUACUUCCAGUAUUGUGAAGCUCUGUUAUUAAGUGUAUAAACUUUUAGAAUUGGGAGUCCCCAUUGUGGCUCAGAGGGUUACAAACUCAGUUAGUAUCCAUGAGGAUGUGGGUUCGAUUGCUGGCCUCACUCGGUGGGUUAAGGAUCCAGUGUGUAGGUUGCAGAUGUGGCACGGAUCUCGCAUUGCUGUGGCUGUGGUGUAGGCCAGCAGCUGCAGCUCCAGUUGGACCCCUAGCCUGGGAACUAACACAUGCUGCAGGUGCA